UGACCUGGGCUACACACGUGCUACAUGGUUGGUACAACGAGUUGCGAGUCGGUGACGGCGAGCUAAUCUCUUAAAGCCAAUCUCAGUUCGGAUUGUAGGCUGCAACUCGCCUACAUGAAGUCGGAAUCGCUAGUAAUCGCGGAUCAGCACGCCGCGGUGAAUACGUUCCCGGGCCUU
rnacentral:rRNA from 1 species